rnacentral:lncRNA from 1 species
ACAGACAAGCCAUAGGUCACUCAGGAGCCGCCAGCGUGUCCUAGAGCUCCUGCAGAGGCCUCCACUGCCAGAGAGCCCCCAACCUGGGUACCAAAGGCUUCAAAUCUCAAGCUCUGUCCACUUGAGCUACUUUAUUUCCUAGCUGCCUUCAAAACCCCUCAGUGUGCUUUUUAAAAACAAAACUUGAAGCCCGCCCUGGAGGAGUCAAGAGGAGACCCAGGAAGAAGGAGGCCUCCAGAGCAGCACGCGGGGGUCUCUGGGGCCCUGCCGGGCUCGCAGAAGCGACUCCCCGUGGCUCGCGGGGAUGGGGACGGCUGGGCGCCGGCGGGACGCUGCAGGAGCGAGCUACCGGCCGGAGGACACGGGGGGACGCUGGGAACUCGGGGUGAAGGGACGGGACUCAGAGUUUCGUCAGAUUGGGGGCGGGGAGAGGAGGCCCGGGUCCGAGGAUGGAAGCGAUCCCCGCCGGGAGGGAGAACAAAGCGGUGGCCCUCUCUCUCCCCCGACGCACGGCAAGCAUUUAAUCUACAAGCAGGGUGCCAGGGAGGGAGGGGAGCGGGCCGAGCCCCAAAAUAGGGAGUUUGCAUUUACCACGACGCCUCGCCCGUAGUCUGGCGCCUCCUCGCUGCUCCCGGCCAUGUUUCUCCCGGGGAACGCGGGAAGGGAAGACGGCGCGGGAAGGAGCAGGGAGGGCGAAGGCUGCGUGGGGGAUGGGACGUGGGGAUGGGGACGGGGACGGGGACGGGGACGGGGACGGGGACGGGUCCGCCCCGCCCCGGGCCCGCCGGCGGGAAGCAGCGGCCUGACGCGGAUCCAUGGCCCCGGCGCUGCGCCCCCUCCCCUGGCUAGGCCGCGGGGGCGCGGGGAGCAGCUGCCAAGCCGCUACCGCUCCCCCUGAGCGCGGGCCCCGGACGCGUCCCUUGCGGCCGCCGCUGUCGCCGCCGCCCCCUGCCGGAUGGUCGCGUGCAGCCCCCGGCCCCGCCGCCAAGCCCCGCGGGGACUCUGGAGCAGGAAGCCCGCGGCAGGAAGAGAACGUGUCCCCCAGGCCCCUGAUUCCCAGAUCCACCGUCCCAGCCCUCGGGCUAACAAUCUCCUUGACUCCUCCCUGCCAGAUUUCAUGCACGCGAUUGUCCCAAGCAGAAGCGUGAAAGAGCCUGUGAGCCAGCGUGCUCUUGGAGGAUGGGAAGUGUCCUGGAUGUGUUUUCAAACCUUGGAGCCGCCACCCACCUCUCUCCACCUCCGCUCAUCUCCCUCCACCUCCCCUCACCUCCCUCCACCUCCCCUCACCUCCCUCCAUCUUCCUCCACCUUUCUCCACCUUCCCCCACCUCCCUCAUCCCAGGGCCUGGAGCUGGAAAGAUUACACCCGAUUGCUUUUAGGGUGGCCCGGAUCUGCAGUGAUCAGAUCUGGGCUUUGAGGAUCCAGCCUUUCGGCCUUUCGUCAACUGCAUUCAGGGGAGGAGGGGGAGAGAUUUUUACACAUUCUCUGCUUUACCAGUUUUGCAAGAACAUCUGGUCAGAUUGUAAUUGUUCCAGGUUGCAGCUUUACUAAAGCAAUCGCUCUUUUCUGAUUAGAAAUCCUUCUUGUAUGAGUCUGUUGUUCAUUUCAACCCCUCUCACAUGCCUAUGCUCCGGUUCUUUGUCCACUCCUGUAGGUUCCUGCUUUUUCUGGGUGUGUCUUCAUUCCCCAGGUCCCUGACAUCUCACCAGCGUCUUCAUUCACUCAGCCCAAUUCGGGUCGAAGCCCUGAAUCCAAGAGAACUUAACACAGUUUUCCUGAUGCAGGCGUCUUUUGUUCAUCUUCGAAUUCUGGCACACAGAGGGGAGAGGAAUGCUGAUUUUGCCUAGUUUAAAGGGGAAAUAGUUAUCAAUCGGUUAAUGACGUUCUAGGUUGGAAAAAUAUUAGUCAUUCAGACUUGGCGCCCUGGUCCUGCUCAGCAGGGCUGGCUCUUCAUGUCGUUUCUAAGCGCCAGCGCCUUGGAGGGUGCAGCUCCAGAGAUCCCUGAAAUCAGGCAUCUGCUUGGCAACUGCCUUACAGAAAUGGGGGGUGUUGUUUCUCAGCACACGGGUAAACAUUUUCUCCUAGUAAUUGUGAGAGGGCGUUGUUUUGAGCCAUUUUUGUAGUCUGCAUCUCACUUCUUUUCCCCAAAGUCAAGCACCAUCUUUUAUUUUCAUUUUCAAAGACCAGGCCCAGGAACCAUAUUCACAAGCAACAUCAUUAAAAUUUCCAGGAGCAGAAAAGUGCUAUCAUUAGGAUGAUGAUCAAACUUUAGAGUUCACAAGACUCUCCUGGGGAGCUGGUUAAUGCAGCUUCACUGGGUGGGGAAGAUCUGUGGAAGCACCUAGAAUCCUGUACCUGCUGAGAGACACCAGAUGGGUGUGAUGUGGGUGGCUCAUGACCCAUGCUUUAGGGGAUUCCACUAGACCAUCUUACUGCUUGGAUAUCAAAACUUAGCCAUGAGGCUCAGUGUGGGUGCAGGGCCAGAUUGGGGGGUACCAGGAACUUCAAAAUAUGUCACAGGAGUAGUUGCCAUACAGAAGUCAAAAAGCAUCAACUUUGGUUCCAGCCUAGACACUGCGGAAGAUGUAAGGGAAAUGGUAGAUAAAUCUUCUUCCCUUAGAAAGGCUAUUAGUUUAAACGUAAAAUCCAACAAGUUCACAGUGAAAAAUGUAACUUGCUUGAAAGACAACAGGAAUCUUAUGAAUGUGUGCUCAAGAACAUCCUACAUAGACUUAUAUAGGUCAUCCUAUAAAGGGCACAGAAUGAUGAGUAAAUAGUUUUUAAAAAUCUAAUUCAUUUUAUUAUCUUUGUAUAUUUUGAUAAUACUUUGUGCGGUCUGAUUACACUUCGAUACUUUGGAGAGCAUUAACAUAAUACAAAAUAAUACUUGAUAACCCAAAUAGUAUUUGCAAAGACCGGUAUCCAGAAAUAACAGCUCAUCUGUCCAAGGCUUUAUUCUUAAUCUUGCAUUAUGAGGAUUUAGAGGCAAAAAUUCUUUUUAAACCUCAAAUUUCUGUUACAUGUUGUAUUAGUCUGUUCUCAUAUUGGUAUAAAGAACUACCUUAGACCUGGAUAAUUUAUGAAGAAAAGAGGUUUAAUUGACUCACAGUUCUGCAGGCUGUACAGAAAGCAAGGCUGGGAGGCCUCAGGAAAUUUACAAUCAUGGCAGAAGGCAAAGGGGAAGCAAGCACGUCUUACCAUGGCAGAGCAGGAGAGAGAGAGAGCAAGGGUGUAGUGCCACAUACUUUUAAACCAUCAGAUCUUGUGAGAACUCACUCACUAUAACGAGAACAAUAUGGGAGAAAUCCACCCCCAUGAGCCAAUCACCUCCCACCAGAUCCCUCCCCCAACACUGGGAAUUACAAUUCAACAUGAGAUUUGGGUGGGGACACAGAGCCAAACCAUAUCACAUGUCUAGUGGAAUAGCUUUGGACUAGGACCUCUAUUUUUCUGUAACAAUCCAUGUUACUUUAGCCAAUGAGUCUAAGCCAAUUAUAUCAGUGUAAUAUACAUCAAUUUUCUCAUCCAUAAAAUGGAGCCACCCAUUUAUUCUCUACUGCAUAUGAUGAUGAGAUGAAUGUGAGAUAACAUGCAAGAGAAUUCUUUGCAAAAUGCUAUAAAACUGUAAGAUAUUAUUAACCUGACAUGCUGUAAAAAUGUAUGACCAAAUGUUUGUAAAAUUAUUCCAUGUGAAAAUGACAAGGAAUUGUCUUUUAAGGUUGAUGGGGCUAGGCACCAUGGCUCACACCUGUAAUACCAGCACUUCGGGAGGCCAAAGCAGGAGGCUCACUUGAGGCCAGGAAUUCAAGACCAAACCUGGGUAACAUUGUAAGACCACAUCACUAUAAAAAAUUAAAAACUUAGCCAGGUGUGGUAGCGUGGCACCUGUAGACCUAGCUACUGGGGAGGCUGAGCUGGAAAGAUUGCUUGAGGCCAGAAGUUUGAGGCUGCAUUGAGUCAUAAUUGCACCACUGCACUCCAGCCUGGGUGACAGAGCAAGACCCUGUCCCUACAAACAAAUAAUAAUAAUAAUAAUAAAAGAUUGACGUAAGGUGACCAAUCAGGGAUAGUUAUAGUCCAGGGAUAGUCUAGAGCUGGUAUGAGAAUGAAUACAGAAAAAUGAUAAAAUUAUUAAAAUAAUGAGAUUUUUCAUAAAAAGGGAUAUUUUAGCUCAGACUGUCCAUUUCCUUUUCUUUUUUUUUCCUUUCCAACUUUUAUUUGAGGUUUGGGGGUACACACGCAGGUUUGUUUGGGAAAAUUGCAUGUCGCAGGGGUUAGGUGUACAGAUUAUUUCAUCACCCAGGUAAUAACCAUAGCACCUGAUACAUAGUUUUUUGAUCCUUACCCUCCUCCCGCCCUCCACCCUCAAGUAGGCCCUGGUCAGACUGUCCAUUUUCUAAUAUACCUUUGAAAGAGCUAUAAGAAUAAAGAUGUGCAUCUUUGCAAAGUUAAUAACCAGUCAAUAUACUUGUAUUUUUCUAUCAUUCUCUUUAUUACAUUUUAGCAGUAGUUUCUCUGCAUUUUAUUUAUUUUUUUUUUUUGGUGUUUAUAUUGUGUUUACUUACUUUUUUUUUUAGUUUUAUUUUUAACUGACACAUAAUAGUUAUACAUAUUAUCUAUGGGGUACAGUGUGAUAUUCCACUACAUGUAUACAUUGCAUAAUGAUCAACUCAGGGUAAUUAGCAUACUCAUCAUCUCAAGCAUUUUUCUUUUCUUUGUGGUGAGAACAUUCAAAAUUGUCUCUUCUAGCUGAUUUGAAAUAUACAACACAUUAUUGUUAAAUAUAUCAUUCUGCUGUGCCAUACAGCAGGUGUCCCCAACUACCGGGCUGCAAACUGGUACCAGCCUGUGGCCUGUUAGGAACUGAGCUGCACUGUAGGAGGUGAGUGUCAGCGAGCAUUCCCACCUGAGCUCUGCCCCUGUCAGAUCAGCAGCCGCAUUCGAUUCUCACAGGAGCACAAACCCUAUGGUGAACCGCACAUGGGAGGGAUCUAGGUUGCAUGCUCCUUCUGUGAACCUAACUAAUGCCGGAUGAUCUGAGAUGGAACAGUUUCAUCCUGAAACCAUCCCCCCUCAAAAUCCGUGGAAAAAUUGUCUUGCACAAAACAGGUCUUUGGUGCCAAAAAGGUUGAGACUACUGCGUUAGUGUACCAGAACUUAUUCCUCUCAUCUAACUAUAACCUAGUACCUACUAACCAACUUCUCCUACUCCUGCCACUCCUCCCCACCUUUCACCUGACUCUGCUAACCAGUAUUCUAGUCUCUACUUCUAUGUGAUCAACUUUUUAAAAUUCCACAUAUAAGUGAGAUCAUGUCGUAUUUGCCUUUUGUUUCUGGCUUUUCUUGCUUAACAUAAUGUCCUCCAGGUUCAUCCAUGUUGUUGCAAAUGACAGGAUUUCAUUCUUUUUGUUGAGGUCUUAUCCAAAAAAUCCUUGCCUGGACCAAUGUCAUGAAGUGUUUCCACUAUGUUUUUUUUCUAGCAGUUUCAUCAUCUCAGGUUUUACAUGGCAGUCUUUAUUUUGAGUUGAUGUUUGUUUGUUUGUUUGUUUGUUUGUUUACGGAGUCUUGCUCUGUUGCCCAGGCUGGAGUGCAGUGGUUUUAUCUCGGCUCACUGCAACCUCCGCAUCUCAGAUUCAGGUGAUUGUCCUGCCUCAGCCUCCCAAGUAGCUGGGAUUACAGGCGCCCACCACCACGCCCGGCUAAUUUUUGUGCUUUUAGUAGAGAUGGGGUUUCACCACAUUGGCCAGGCUGGUCUCAAACUCCUGACCUCAAGUGAUCUGCCUGCCUCGGCCUGCCAAAGUUCUGGGAUUACAGGCAUGAGCCACUGCAUCCGGCCUUGAGUUGAUUUUUGUAUAUGGUGAGAAAGAGGGGUCUAGUUUCAUUCUUCCACAUGUGGAUAUUCAGUUUUCCCAUCACCGUGAUUCUCUGCAUUUUAAAUUCUGUAAUCAUCCUGUGCCACUACCAUGGUGAAAACACAAAUAUUUAUAAUUCACUGAAUUCUCUGCCAGCCUGGAGGCUUUUGUCCUGGAAGUAUAUACUAAUUUUUUUUUGACAUUUUGGUAAUUGACUUUUGUCAAUACAAAUCUGUAAUUGAAGGAACAGUUCAGUCUAUCCACUGAAUUGUUCCUAGCCCGUCACUCAGUGACACUAGAUUGGAAAUACAGAAAGGCAUUUAAUUCUUUCUGCACUAGACUGGAAAUACAGAAAGGCAGUUAAUUCUUUCUGAGUCUUGAAACAUGAAAGUAAAUUAAAAAAAAAAACCUUUCAGUCUGGGAAUUGUGUUGAAAUCCAUAAACAUCUGAAACUUAGUGACUCAGAUUGUUAGUCACAGAGUCACUGGUUAGAAUCUGGAUGAAAUCCACUGUGGACAAAGGCCAGUAAUAAUGAUGAUGAUAUUUUGCUUUUCCAUAGUGCCGAACAAAACUCUUUACAAAUGUUACAAGUACAAAAGAAAGAGUAGCAAGACAUUUUUUCUGCAAGUGCUCAGGCUAAGUAAGACUCUUGCUAACUUUGAAGUAGUUUAUUUUUCCCUCUACAUAAAUACAAAAGAAAUGUAGUGGCAAAUAAUUGCAACAAAACCCAACUUAAGCAAAGGCCUCAUUAGUAUUCAAUUAGCAUAGUAACCCGUCUUUCCCGGUCUCUUGUUUGAAGCAGACUGGAUCCAAUGUGUAGUCUUGGAGUAAAGAAAAUAAUAUCUCCAGAGUAGGUCUUACAAAUAAAGCCAAGGCUACACUCAAUUGUGUUUUGUAUUAUUACACUUUCGUUAGUAAUUCACCUUCCACUGAAGAACACACAGAGGGUAGAUCUAAGUUUGUUCUCUUGCAAUAAUGUCAGACCUGAGGAAUAUCAGCAGUAAGCGCUGGGCAGUUUCAGAGAUAUCCUCCCACUAUCUCCCCUUCUGACCGGAACAGGAAUUGGAUAGCUUCAGAGCAAAAGAAUAAUGUGUCCAUGUGUUCCUCCAGAUCUCUGAGUCCUGGCAGUCGACCUCAACUCUCUUGGCCACCAUAAAGCAGUCAUUGAAAGGACACAGCUGCAGGAACUAGGGACUAAGCAGUAAAUAAAUCCACAGGGCUGGAGGCAGAAGUUACGUACAUGACCCUAAAACAAUACUCUGUGGUUAUGAACAAACUGAUUAGCAUCUGAGGGUCCUGUAGCAGCUUAUGCAAAAUUAAUUGGUGCCUCAGCCAGUGCUGAGUUUCUAAAGGAAAGAUGUCCACUUCAAAAACAAAAACAAAAAAAGGGGGGCCUCCUUAGUCAGCAGCAACUUUGCCUGGUGUCCUGGGGAGACGAUCAGCUAGAAUGGGAAUGGAGCUGUUUAUUCUCUUAGCUGUACAUGGAUUCUCUUCAGAUCAGAGCUGAUGUAUAACAGCCACUGGCAAUAUCCCAAGACAUGAUCCAGUGAUUGCCAGGUUAUGGGUUGCAUCUUAGAGUUAAGGUGAGAGGAGCUUGGGAAAGAGGUUGAGAGAUGUGGCUUGAGAGUGGGAGAGAUGGAGAAAGUAAAAGAAAUUGGACACUGAUCUACAUAGAGCAACACUUCCCUAAUUGUGAGUUUGAUCCACUUUAUAUUUGAAGAAAAUGGCGUUUUGAUUCAUUAGGUUUGAGAAACAAUUAAGUAAGCAAAGUUAAGCCAACUUCUAUGUUGUAGGUCUUCUAGGAGUCUUUAGUACGCCAAUAUGCACUGCCAAUAUUCAGGAAGACUGUUGCAAAAUGCAAUGUAAUGCAACGUUUCCCAAACUUUUUUUUUUUGUCUAUGCAAACCUUUCUGGAAGGUGUUUUAUAAGUGUUUUAAAAAUAUUGCAGUAUUAUGAAAUGUUUAAAUUUAUGCUUUUAAUGUUUUCUCCAAGUAAGAGGUUUUAUAUAUUCUUAAAGAUACACUAAAAGGACUAAAUAUUUUAUAUAUAACACUGUUUUCAAAUUGUGCAUAGAUAUUUUCUCUUCGUAAAAAUAUAUAAUAGGAAUUUAAAUGAAAAUGGCUAAGGCCUUUCUCAUCUUGUGAAAUAUCCUGGAUUUGCAAUUUGGGUUAUCCUUCAGAUUGACAUGCAACUUGGUGUUUUCCUAGAAGACAAGGAACUUAUUUCCAUCUCCCUACCCCCACCUCCAUCCCCCACCCCCUUUCCCAUUUUUGCCAUUUUUCUCUCUCUCAUGUGUGAACAAAAUCAGCCUUCUGAAUAGCAAGAGAGAUGAAAGCCAUCUCAUUGCGGCAAUUCCCUUUUGUCUCUCUCAGUGACCAUGUGGUAGCUUGCAAAGGUAAUUGUUUGUUUUUAGACAUUGCCAGCAUGUGGAAUAUCCCAGCGAACCAAGAAGCAGAGCUGGGAUGUGGUAUUAAAAGUCAUACAAAGGUAUGGGCAUACUGGGCUCAUGGUUCCUUUCAAGGAACUCUCCCAGUGGGAAUCUAUUGCAGCUCUCACAUUAAGAGUCCUAUGGGUUGCACUUGAAGGAACUGGGUUCCUUGUGUUUUAUUUGUUUUAUUAUUAUUAUUUUAUUUUUAUUUUUAUUUUUUGGAGAUGGAGCCUUGCUCUGUUUCUCAGGCUGGAGUGCAUGGAGCAAUCUCAGCUCACUGCAACCUCCACCUCCUGAGUUCAAGCGAUUCUCCUGCCUCAGCCACCCGAGAAGCUGGGAUUACAGGCGUGCACCACUACACCCUGCUAAUUUUUGUAUUUUUAAUAGAGACAGGGUUUUACCAUGUUGGCCAGGCUGGUCAUGAACUCCUGACCUCAAGUGAUCCACCUGCCUCAGCCUCCCAAAGUGCACCCUCACCACGCCUAAUCCUCCCAAAGGAUUACAGGCAUGAGGCACUGCACCCAGCCUAUUUUUUGUUUUUUUUUAAUGGAGACAGGGUCUCACUCUGUUGCCCAGGCUGGUUUCGAACUCCUGGGCUCAAGCCAUCCUCCCGCCUUGGCCUCCCAAAGUGCUAGGAUUAUAGACAUGAGCCACCACACCUUGCCAUUCCUUGUGUUUUCUAACUAGGCAUCUCUUACCUACACUCCCUUCCUCAGUUGGGACUGUAGGAUCCAUGGCAAGUUGAACCUGACUCAUAGAGGGUCAAAUCUGCUAUGUUUCAGCCAUUCUGUUUAUAACUUUUUAAAAGACAGUGCAAAGGUAUUUUUCCAUUUUAAAUUAGUAUGUACAAGUUGUUUUAAACUGGAAAAUAUAGAAAAACAGAAGUAAAAUAGAAAACCGUGUUAUAUUUUGGUGCCUUCUUCCAGUUUUGUGAUUCUGGAAAGUUUAUCUUACCUAGUUGUGACUAAAUGCACAGGCUGUAGUUCUGUUCCCUUCUUCUCUGCUUCACAUUCUAAGUAAAAUAAACAUAUAACACAAGUGUUUUUCCAUAGUAUAAUAAACUCCUUAUAAACAUCAUUUGAAAUAGCAAUGCCAUCACUUAUUUAACCAUUCCCCAGUAUAAGUAUACUACUUCCAAAUUUUGAUUGUAUAAAUAUAUAAAUAAAUGUGUUUGUAAUAAACCAUUUAUAUGCAUUUUAACUAUUUCUAGAGGAUAAACUCUCCAGAAAUGGAAUUUCUAAGUUAGAGAGUAUAAAUAUUUU